rnacentral:misc_RNA from 1 species
GGAAGAGAAGGAAAAGAAAACAGAGGCUACAUAUUUAUUUUUCUCAUUACUUUUAUAGAAUAGAAGAUUACAUAUUUAUAUACAUAUCUCCUAUAAUUACUCUACUUAACUAGAAAUAUAAAUCCAACCUAUUUAGGAAUAUAAAUUCUACACUAAAUAGGAAUGUAUAAAAUAUACCAACUAAAUAGUAAUAUAUAAAUUAUACCAACUAAAUAGGAAUAUAUAAAAUAU